ACCUGAGCAUCCCCGACAUGUCCGUUGACAUUAUUUGUCUGUCAUGAAGGUCCAAGAUUACUGCUCGCAGACCUUGUCAGUUUAGCAGUCAAAGGUUCAAAGCUUCACAGUAGGCAAGCAGAACCCCCAAGGCUGCCAAGUGAUGGAAUGCAGAAGUCCUGAUUUGCUUGCAUGCGCAACGUGCGACAGGACUAUCAUCGCAAGGCAUGACGGGUUCGCCGUGGGAGCGCUGAUCAUGAGCGUGGAUUUUCAAAAUCCCCCUAGACAAUGCCCAGCGCCUUAGGGGCUGAUGUAGAUGCAAGGCGUUGCAUCCUCAAUUUGGCAUUUCUUGGUUUACCCUUGCUUGGUAUGCGUAGGCAUGCUGUGGUCUUCAUCACACACUAUCCACAACGGGUCUGGUCUGGGUUGACACUACUGCAAUUAGCGGUUUAAGGUCCUGGGUUCGAUUCCUGGGGAGACCCCCGAACUAGUCGGGAGCGCGAGAUUAUGGCUAGCUGCUGAGAUGUGGAGUUGAGGUCACAGUUGAUGGACCAGAUUCGCACGCUGGAUUGGUGGCGAUUGCCGAACCCUCCGUCUCUUCGGGUGUUCGGGUGAAUGGAUGAGGAGGGGUCCCUGAAGGCUGGAUCCGCCGCCUUGGACUUACAGUUCGUAUGGCGAAGACAGUGUGGUAGUGGUGGAUGGUGCUAUAAGGUGAUAAAUGAUCGUAGAACUGACAAUGUGAUAAAGCGGCCCAGAAGCCUCCCACUCUGUAACACAUUACAACGGGUCGGGCCUGAACUAACGGACCGUACGCCUGGAAGUUCCCCCUACACCUGUCUCCGUGCUGGCCAAUACCUCCCCUGUCAAUCGCCACGCCCUGUGCGCAUGCAGUUACCCGUCAGGUACAACAUUCUACACACGUACUGGCUAUCCACAGCAGUCCAGUGCCACGAUGGCCAUUCUCCCUGCGUCGCACGUCAUAACGGCUGUGCCCAACUAGAUGCGGACGUGCGAGGAUUCGCACGAAACUCGGGACUUCUCUUCGCCCGGGAUCAUUACAUUUCCAAAUGCACCCGAAGGUGCUGGCCGCUGCUACUUGCAGCCUAUCGCAUGCGAAGCCAUCAGGCCACGGUUGCCUUUCAAGGCCUCAUGCCAGGUGGAGGGUUUAUUGGCUCGCUCAUGCGCUGGUGGGCUGUGGGUGAGGAACCCUGGGAAAAGGAUCCAUUAAACCACUCCGGUGUGGGGUUACUUACUCCAACCUAUCGACCUACCAGCUAAAUACUACCCUUAGCAUGGCAAACAUCCUCAGGAUGCGCAGGACGACAUACAUACCGCGCGACGCCUGUCCCAGGAUGCCUUUUUCAGUUUUUAAUGCUAAGAACGACACAUCACAGCACAUGCGCAUCAUAAUAUAAUCGGUUUGGUAAAAGGGUUGCACCUAUCAUCUCGCUAUGUUGAUGAAUCCCACAAAUUGGUACCACGUUGACACGCAUAUCAGUACACAGUGCGCUCCAGGGGAGGUCCGUCCCCCUACCGCCCAGCAGCACUCUCAGUGGCCAUAAUUGUACAGACGCUAGGUACAGCAGCCAGAUGUGCAACCAAUACACAACCAUAAAAAUCCCGUUCACACACUUAUGAUGAUGGUGAUCAUCAUCAUCAUCAUCAUCGCGAUAGACGAAAGCAUUGCGUAGCGCAGUGGCAUGUGUAAGGCACCAAUGCUGCACCAAUGAUCCUUUGUUAUGGAUCGUCAUGGGAAACACACACACACACACACAUUCAAAUACACACACAGACCCAUAUUUAGCUUUGGUCGAAUCCCGGCAAUUGAUUCACGUUCGCAGUCUUGCAGUACCACCCACACCGGGAAAUAAUCCCUCUUACAGAGGUGGGCCUCCUGGGAGCAGUUUAUCAACACUCAUGUUUGUCGUAGGAUUCUUAUCGAACUUUUUCUGUCUAUUUCUUUAUACACCUAAACCUUUGUACACCUAAAGCCCAGCUACAGGCAUGGUGAAAUGAUCUGAUAAUCACAACCUCGCAACCCCGUCCAAGAGUUGUCCAACACCAAUUCGGACCCUAAGUUUCUAGUUACCAUCACGAGCUGAUGAGGAUGGCGUUCAUAUCACCAUGAUCACCUCACGCCUGCUGCUGCAAGUAAUGCGGUCGUCUGUACUGCGUGUUCACCUGCUGGAUGCCGUACUGCGGGUGCGAAGCGUACUGUUGCAGCAGCUGCUCUUGUUUCAUGGGAACCUGCAGCGAAAGCCGCCCGUAGCCAGGUAGUUGCGUCUGCUGGCUUGACUGUGGCUGUAGCUGUUCCUGGCCGUACAGACGUUGCUGGAAGUACGGAUCCCUUGCAGCCCCCUGCUGCCCGCUGCUGUAGUACGGCUGCUGUACACCGUAGCCUUGCUGAGCCCUAUGGUAAACCUGCUGCUGCAGCUGUUGAGGAUGUGGUUUCGGUUGUUGCUGUAAAGCAAUACCUUGCUGCUGCACAUUUGAAGCUGAAAAUUGCUGCGGAGGUGAAGUCACGUACUGUGGCUGUAGCUGAAGGACCUGCUGCGCGCCAUACUGCAGUUGCUGUCCUUGGUGCUGUUGAGACAAUAGCUGCUGCUGCUGCUGCUGGCGUUGAAGCUGCGCUUGCAUGGCCGGCUGCACUUGCAUCACCGCUGGGGGCUGCAUCUGCAUCUGCAUUUGCUGCAAAUGCAGCGUCAUCGGCCCAUACUCCCCGUACUGCUGCAACUGCUGCUGCUGAAUGCCGUACAUCUGCAGUUGUAGCUCCCGUACCUGCGGCGGGUACGGCUUGGGCCCCUCUCGUAGUUCGCGCUCCGACGCUUUUUGUAACUGGGAGUACUUAAAGGGGUCAGGCGCUUGCACCUCUCUCUGCCAUUCGUACUGCUGCUCCAGGCCGUACAGUGUCCGGGUGUGCAGUACCUGCGGUUGCGGUACCGUUGCCGACGUCGCGACCGCAGGGUAACGCCAGUUCUGCUGCUGCGCCGCUAGGAGCUGUUGUCGAGCGUACUCUUGUUGCGCCUGCCGAAGCCUCGUCGGUGCGCCAGCGACAGCAACAGAUGGCGGUGGUGGCGUCGUCUCCGGCGCCGACACUUGGUCACCCCGCUGCAUCUGCGACGGAGGCUGAGGAUGCGACCACUGGUACUCUUGCAGCUGUGGACCAGGGGGCGACGGCGGCGGCGGAGCCGCCGCCGCCGCCGCUGCCCCCGCCGCCGCUGAACCUGGUCUCGACUCCGACUCCGACGGCGGUACGGGGGGCGAUGGUGACGAUGAUGACUCGGGCAGGGGUUCCUGAAAGGUCGGCGGCGGCAAAUCAUCCGCAAAGGUGACGUUGCUCCUGGGCCUCCCGGACCGAAGGGAAUCCUUCCCUGGAGCGUUGUCGCCUCCGUCGGUAACGGAGCCGCUGAUAGUGGGUUCCGCCACUGGUGGCGGCGGCGGCGCUGGCGGCAGCUGGAAGCGGCUUCCUGGUAGCUCCGGCAGCGCGUCAGCGUCGGCGCUGGCGGCAGCGGCUCCGUGUGCCGUCGCCGCUGCUGGUACCGCCGCCGCCGCGGCGGCGGCGGCAGGGGCGGCCCCCUCAGCUUUUGCACGCAGCUCCGCCAGGCGGCUCCGAGGUACGACAAGGUGAUCACCGUUAGGGUCGUUGGGGUCGCCGAUGAUGCCACGCUCGUACGCGUCCCUGCAGGUGCGACCGUUAGUAGUUGGAAGGCGACCGUUAGUAUUUUGUUGCUGCUGUAGCUUUUUCACGAUGACUAAGGUUGAAGCGCUAAACGGCGGCGGAGUCGGCUGCUUGGCUGUUGGCAGUUGGCAGUUAUCCCUGCUACCCAGGCAGAAGUGGGCCCUUUGCCAUGGCCCUUCUUCCGCCGUCCUUGACCGCCCUUCCCAUUCAUCAUCAUAGUCGCUUGCUUGGCUUCCGCUACCAGCCCGCAGCUUUCACAACAUUUCAUUCAUCCAUGAUCUAAAAACGAGCGCAGAUACAUACAAACCAGACACUAUUGUUUCUGUAAUAUGUUUCAUCGAGUGUACGGCAAUGCAGUCCAUGGAACCUCCUCGGUCCUGAAAUCGCAGGCUGAUACCGGGCAGCCGUACAGCUCACAGGCAACCAUUAGUUUACUAGGUAGUUAGUCCGUUAGCUAGUUAGUUUAGUUCGUUCCGCCCACUCGAGACGAGGGUCGUAGCCAUGUCCUCCGUACUGGGGACGGUCGUGAUUACCUUCGAAUAUUGUUGAGCAUUAUCCUGAGGUACUCGGGUGUGAAGUGGUCGGGGACGUCCCAGCGAGGCCGCGGCCGCUCAGCCUGUGCAGGAAAAGCGGAGGGGUGCAUGGGUGGAUGGAUGGAUGGAUGGAUGGAUGGAUGGGUAAGAGGGAAAGGGACCGAAUGGGGUGGGUGGGAGGUGAGGGAGGCAGGGAAUCAUCAUAUGCAGAAUCGGCUACCGACAUUCAAAGUACCAACUGCAGGGAGAAGAAAGUUGGUAAGGAAAGAAAAGGAAAGAAAAGGAAAGAAAAGGAAAGAAAAGGAAAGGAAAGGAAAGAAAAGGAAAGAAAAGGAAAGAAAAGGAAAGAAAAGGAAAGGCAGGGGAAGGUAUGCGGGCCGGCUGGCAGGGUGGACAGUCGGGGUGGGAGGGAAGAGGGCAGAGGCACUAGGGGGGAAAAGUGGAAGGAGAAGCGGCCAAAAUCAAGGACAGCUAGCGCCUCUCGUUGUUUGGACAAGUCAGUUGAGGACUCCUAAGAAACCACUUUCGGAUAUAAAAAAUUUACUGCCACGUGUACGGCUUGUAUAGCCUGUACGGCGCUCCCUUGUUACCUGUUUGCGGUCGCGGGCCAUGAGCUCCAGGGGAGUUUUGUGGCCGAUCUCAAGUGCCACGUCAGGAUGGCUGCUGUCGUACGCCAGGAGCAGCACGGGAGCCCAGGAGGCGAAGCUACAUAUCGCGGCGAUAUGGAAUUGCGGGUUCCAAGCCACCUGCGUGAGCACGGCACAUGACACAGAAACAGACAGUUGUGACCCCCUCCUUGCGGUUUCAGCUCAGUCAAGCCACGUGCAUUGUCGAGGCAAAAGCGCACAGCCAAACACCCCCUACAGAUCCUGCCCCUCUAAGCGCCAUGCAUCCCCUCGUCCCGCGGAAGCCCCUCCUCCUCCCAGUCGAUCAUGAACCACUACCCCCCGGACCCCAACACAUACAUACAUACAUACGCACACCUGGUACACCGUGUCUCCCCCCAGGCUGAAGUGCGGUAGCGAUGUGGGCGGGCCCCCGUCCGCGUCCCAAAUAAACACUCGGCCGUCCUCACUGCCGCAGAUCAGGAAGCGCCCGUCUGACGGAACCACCAAAAGGGGUUUCGGAGAGAGGGACGAGUAGGCCGGAACUCAAGGCGGUGAAAAUGUGCCCUUUUUUACACAUCGAAUUUUUGUGUAAAUCUCCGUUGAUUUUACAGGAAAAAUCUUAUUCCUAAAAAAAACCCUCUUUGUGGUUGGUUAGCAACAUAUCGUGGACGGGUCUGUGGAAAGGAAAGUCUUUGGACUCGGGACAUAAAGGUUGCGGGAGGGAGGGAUAGAUGGAUGGAGGGGUGCGGGAUGAAAAAAACAUGUGACGGAAAAAUUAUGUAAUGGAGCGGGGGGGCUCCCUCCACACGGACCCAACCUCCACAGCCGACCAGCCCAUAUAUAUGCAUACCGCCCAUAUAAAAGCUCCAAUCACGCCCCGGUUCACAAGGACUUAUGGGUUGAAGUGUGGGUAUGUAUGCUAAUGGGGCGCGGCCUCAUAACCCCAUAAGCCCCACCUGGGCUGAAAGCGGCCUUCAGAGGCGCCUCUCUGCACCUCAGUCCCAGAAACUGCUCCGCCCUGCUCAGACUGCGAGUCUCCACUACCAGCAGACGAGAGCGCUUGGUCAGCAGAGCCAGUCGCCGACCGUCGUGGUGCGGGAUCACGGCAGCCAGGGGCUCUCCGUCGAAUUCGUCACACCUAGGAGGCGCGGGAGGAGGGGGGGGAGGCGCGUUGGGUUUGCGGGUUGGGGAGGUGGAGGUGAGAGGAGGGGAUGGAGGUGGGAAGGUGAGAGGACGGCCGAGUAGCGUGUCAGUUGUUAGUUAUUAGUUGGAUGGGUGAUGUUGGAUGGAAGCAAAAGAAGAGAGAGACAGCGACGAGACAACUGGACAAGUGAGACACUUAAGUGUGUAGUACAACUGUACGACUGACCGCCUGCACAUUGCCAAGGAUGGCUGGACAUGGACAAAACCAUGCACACAUCUGCACUACGGCUACGGCUGUGUGUAGCUAGCUGCUUUAGCGCUGCCAUCCCUCACUCACUUCCGCAACACGCGGAGGAUGUUGGCUGCCGCCGCCGCGGCGGCGGCGGCGGCGGCCUCAGCAUUCACGCCUCCGCCGCCACCGCUGGGUGCUGCGGACCCCUGUGUUGCAUUCAAGCCGUCGCCGCCAUCACCUCCGUUGCCGCCGCCGCCACCGUCACCGCCACCGGUGCCAGGGGAUCGCCGAAUGGAGGCACUAAAGUUGAAGUUGGAGCGCGGCAACAUGGAGGCAUUCAGGUUGACAGGGUUGCUUCCACCACCGCCGCCAGCCGCUGACCGCUGGGUGCCACUAAGGCGCUUGCGAGCGUUACUACUCAUGAGGGUGGCAUUGAGGACGCUGCCGCUGUUGCCUAUUGUGGCAAGGAGGCAAAAAGUGGACGAACAGAUAGGCAGACCGACACACGGCUGGAUCAGUGGAUUUAGAUGACAGAUCUAUCUUAGGGCUUAAAACCCUAAAACCCUAAGAUCAGACAGACAGACAUACAGACAGACAUGAAGGUGGCAGGACUACAGCUUGAUAGGAAGCACCUUGUGCGCGGUGAUGGGGGUGGUGCUGGUGAUGGGGGUGGGGGUGGGGGUGGAGAUGGAGGAGUUAAUGGUGCUGGUGGUGGUGGAAAUUGGCAGCGGUGAUAGUAGUAGUGACAUGACGUGGCGUUUUUCCAAUGUUUGAUGACCACCCUGGACUUCCCGGGUUCCCCCCUGGACUUCCUCCUUCCCUAACAACGCAUACUUUAGCAAGACAUGCAACCCAUACGACACAUGUUGCUUGCUUUUCACUGAACCAACACAACCUAAUUGCAGGUAUCUCCUUGUUAUGUACAUGUUCGCAACACACACAUGAACGCGCGCGCGCGUGUGUUCAUGUGUGUGUGUAUGUGUAUGUUCAUAACGCUUUGCCUUCCCCCACCAAAUCAUUAAUCAACCUAUUAUGGCCGCUGUCAAGGUCACCAUCAACGUCGCCAUCGCGAUCAGAUGAUACAUAUCCCCAUGCCCUCCCAUUUUCCUGUCAUGAUGUCCGCCGCCCUGCUACCCACCCUGGGUGGUGGAGAUGGUAGAUAUCUUCAGGUUGGUACCCCCCGGCGCGGCGGCAACAGCAUCCACCCCCUUGCUGACAUCACAACUGAACUCCUGCGCGACAGUGCGGCGACAGUGACAGCGGCAGUGACAUACAUACAUAUACAUACAGACAUAGGAAGGUAAGGAAGGAGCGUGGAGCACAUGCACAAGGGAUGGCGUAUGCUGAGAAAGCACCUCUUUAAGAAAAUGUGCACCGCUACCACCUCUGAGGGCACCUGAGCGUUUUGUGUGACAAGUCGGCCAGAGACGAGGCUUUCAGGCCGGGGAAGGGUCUUACUGUUGGAUCUUGGCCUAGGCCUGGGCCUGGAGAAGGGCUGUAAGGGGUGGGGCCUCCUACUCUCCCAUGCACCUCAGCCAGUGGGCGCACACCACAUCCUUCCGGCAGUGCACUCAUCUGCAGUGCACUCAUACGCGUGUUGUAUGGGGCCUCAAUCAGUUUCGCCUUUAGUCUUCCUUCCCUGGCCUAGACCUCGCAGAUUGUUCCUUGCCUCUCCCCCAGCACAUAAACUCCUCCGUCCCCGCCUGCCUGCCACCACAAAGGCCCCGACCCCAACCCGCACCUGCAACACGCCGGCGCUGUCGCCCGCAUAUAAUCGAGUGCCCAGCUUGUCGAAACACAAACUGUUGAUGCAACCGUUCUGGGUCUGUGCGGCGCGUGUGGGACAUAUUGUAGGCGGCAGGGAUACAGUCCGGAACAUGUAAGUCUGUCUGUCUGUCUGUCUGUGUCAAAAUGAUCUGAACCGCGAUGAGGAAAAUGGUGGUACACGAAUAACUUUACCGAAGCGAGCUCUUGGCUGUGUGCGUGCUUCUUGCGUUUUUUUUACGAAUUUGGAGAAGAAGCCUUGUUGUUGUGCAGGUGCGAGUCUGUGGGCGUGUAUGUAUGUACGUAUGCAUGUUUGCAUGUAUGUAGAUAUGUAUACUUCUGACUGCAAGGUGUCUGGACAUGUGCAGCUGAAGAGUCAACAGGACAAUGUUGAAAACGUUUCAGGAGGUGGAUGGAGAACAUAGAAAAAGGUGCGAUUCACGCUUCGAUGUGUAAUAACGCCAAUAUUUACGACAACAUAGGGGAAUGUUAUCCCCUAAAGGGGAUGAACUAAAGUUCCCAGUGUGCAUACGUACGCAUGUAUGUAUGUAUGUUGGGACGUCUCUGACAUGUGGCGUGGCAACGCACGUGUCCCGCAUCAUUGACUGGAAACUGAUCCUCUCAAAACUCCAGGGACAGGAGGAGCCUUUAAGAAUCUGUCACGGCGCAAAAAAUGUUGUAAACAAUCUCACGACGUUUACCUUGACAGCUGCAAGCAGCUCGCCUGUAUAUCGCCGCCACAGCCGUACGGUCCCGUCGUACGCGCCCGUGGCCACAAGCGCGCUUCCGAGCUUCUGUACGGGAUGGAACUGUGCCGUAUAGACAUAGCAUGCGUGGGAGAGUACGGUGGGGUGCGGCAGAGUGGCGGUGGGCCCGGCUCUAGACCCGGAAAGGGCCGCUGCGGCUGGUAUAAUCCCUGUGUUGGCGGCAGCUGCGGCGGCGGCGCCGCCGCCGCGGCGCUUUGACACGUUAAGGCUAGCGUUGAGGUUCCCUAUCGGAGGCGUCGGCGGUGGCGUCAGCGGUGACGGCGUCGCCGCCGCCGCCGACCCUGGUCUCAUCGUCGCCAGCAAGUUCAUGGCAGGUGCAGCCGCCGCCGCUGCGGCGGCGGCGUCGGAGACGCUGGUGCCGGCCGCCUGACCUCCGCCGCCGCCACUGCCGCCGGCAGCGGCAGCCGCCGCUGCUGCCGUGGCAGCCGCCAUGGCUGCUGCAGCGGCGGCGGGGUUGAACUCCCAGACCUUUGCCGUACCGUCGGCGGAGGCGGUUAUAAUCGCCGAGUCGUCACGCGCCCAGGCUACUUCAUACACAAACCCGUUAUGGGCGCAGUGGAUGGUACGUUUGACUGCCCCUGGUGGAGGUCAUCGGAUCGUGUGUGAGAGAUCAAUCACAUCAAGGGUAUAACCAUCGGUCAAGCAACGAUAUAAGGGAGAGAUUCGUAUAAGACGUACGACACCAAUCCUACAGAAGAUAACUUCCGUACUGUCUUGAAAACAAUAUCCACCAGUCAAGGGUCUGCAUGGCCCACGAUCACCGCCGAUUGACACAGCAGCCUGUUGCGUCUCGCCUAAAUGUGCAAGAUGAUUUGCUACUGCUACUGCUACUGCUACUGCUACUGCUACUGCUACUGCUACUGCUACUGCUACUGCUAGCUUCUUUUCCACACCUUAAUUAAAAACACAAGCCUCCAAAACUUACUCGCUACUCCCAAGAGAAAAGGACUUAAAAUAGUCCUAAGCAGCUUCCGAAGGAUAGCCCCAAAGAGUUCUAAACACACACAUACACGCAUACAUACACAUAUACAUAUACAUACGCACACGCACCCCAGCUCACCGGUCAGCGCGCUGUAGAUGACAAUCCUGGCUCGGUCGUCUGCUUCGCUAGCCACCACCGCCAGGAAAGAGCCCCCGUGGCUGAAGGCCAGACACGUCACCCCUUGGGGCCCGCCGGGCAGCUGUCGCAGAGGCACGUUGGGAACCUGGACAGAAACACCACCACCAUGAGCGGAGGGAGCCAGGACCAUAAAUAUGACCAUAAUUAGGACCAUAAUAAGGACCAUAAUUAGGACCAUAAUUAGGACCAUAAUUAGGACCAUAAUAAGGACCAAGAUUAGCAUCGCGGCCCGAGGUCUGGGGUAGAAGGUAGCGGGUAGGGGAGCCCCGGGGGUUUGGGGUUUGACAUGCCGGGUUACAAACCCGGGAACGGAUGAUGGAUGGUUUCGGGGCUCCGGACUCCACAUCAGCAGACGGCGCUGCGAUGAGUGUUGGAUGUUGCAAAAUGUUGGGUACAUGGUGGGUGCGCUGAAUCCUGACGCGCUGCCGACCACCUGCCGUACCGUGCCGUACCUUGCAGGGCUCUGUGACUGGGCGGUAGAGCUUGUGCUUGGUGAUGUCCUCCGCUGCCUCUCCUAGCAGCGCGGUGCCGUCACCAGCCGCACCUCCCAAGUAAGCGGAUAGGGGCACCUUGCCUGUAUGAUACGGGUUGUUGUUCUUGUUAUGUGUAAUGGUACGAGUAGUGGUACGAGUAGCGGUACGAGUAGCGGUAUGUGUAAUGGUACGAGUAGUGGUAUGAUGAGGAGUUGAGUGAGGGAGGAGGCGGAGGGGAAAAGGGAAGGGGAAGGCGGUUUAAGGAAUGAUCAAGGGUACUGGGGGGAUAUCCAGGGUUGUGGUGGGGGGGAGGGGCCGAGGGGGGGAAGUCGCCAGAUGGCGACGUAACACAUUCCCGCCCCGCAAUCCACACUCCUCUGAUAUCCUGAAGGAUGCAGCUCUCAGUCGAUGGCCGAUUCCCCUUGCAUCUUGUUCUUUUAAAAUUUGACACCAACUAUUAUAGUCAUCUUUAACUAUUUCUCUUUAUUGUAAGUUAGGAUCCAGCACUCAACAGCUAGUCUUGUGGAAGAGGGUUAUCCAGCCUUCAAAGGGACCGCACUCGGACGCCGUGGCGCGUUUUGUUUUAAUUGCCCUUAGUUUUUUAUUUACUUCUGGCGGGUCAGGAAGGUACGAAUGUACUGCCGGAUGACGUAACACAGGAGCACCGGAACGGUGCACCUCACAGACACAGACCACAUCAGACUCAAGACGCACAAAUACCGCAUCAAGAGCGUACGGCAACACUUACCGGUUUCGAAGCCACUGCCGUACCCGGCUGGAAGGUACGGCCGGAUAUUCUUGGCGGGCUCCGUGAUCACCACCUCGGGCUCCGGACGGCGUACGGCCUGUACGUGUGUACGACACGCGGCGUGUACUAUGUGUAUACGGGCAGUGCAUGGCUGCACGCGUACCCUGCGUAUAUUAUCAUAUAUAUAUAUAUAUAUAUAUGCACCUGCUUGUCUGUUGUCUUACCCUCUCUUACCCCUCUCCUUCACACUUUUCCACAGUCUCCCUCAGGCUUUCACGCACACCCUCCGCACUUGUACGGAACACACUUGUAACUUGUAACUUUUAUCUCCUCUUUCCCUUUCCCCUUCCCUUCCCAUCCCCCUCGAAAACCCCUAGGCCCGCCUUACCUGCAACACGACCGUCAAGGCACUGGGGUACUUGGGCACCACCGCCGCUCCCCCUUCCGCCAUCAGAGCCUGCCAGUUCACAUACGCCCGGCUGGCGGCAUUGAGAUGAACGGUCGGACCCGCACCCACCACACCCGCACCCGCAUACCCCGGCGUUGCACCAACGCCUCCGCCGACAUUGUACGGCAGUGCGCCACCUCCUGCUGAAGAUGCUGACGCUUCUGCUGCUUUGCUGCUUGUGCGUACGGCAUCCGAAAUAUCUGUACGGACACCCGUGCGGCAGUCGCGGCGAGUAGGAACGGGGUAAUGGAGGGGUGUCCAGUUCGACGGGUCGUGCCUCGUGCGGUGUGUUUUUCAUCAUGCUGAUACAUGAAAAAAUUCAGCCACCACCGUACAUAACCACGCAUACAGCCACGAAAGCCACACAGACGGCACAGACGGCCACUCACUCACAUUUAAAAUACCUUUUUUGUACUCGUACAAUUGCAGUUUGAGGCGGCCGAGCAGCGGCUGCCGGGGGCCAUCAGGCGUGUCGGGUCGCGGACCCGCGGGUCGCAGAAAGGCCCACGCCACCAAAUGAGAGCCGUCCUCCGAGUCGAAGGCGCGAAUGUGUUUGCGGUAGCGCUGGUAGCUGACGGGAGGUUGCAGCACCUGUCGUACAACGUUGGCGGCAAUUGCGGGUAUGUCUGUAUGUCUGUGUUUCGAAGGGGAGGUACCCGGGGUUCUUCUUGAAAUGCUGGGAGGGUGGUGGGGUUGGGGAAAGACGAACCACGAACGAGUGAAGCUGCCGCCAAGGAAAGAGUGUACCAGGCGGGGGUGGAGGGGAGAGGAGAGAACGGGUCGGGUCGAGGGGCCCCCAGCCCGAGGGCGGUGCAACGUCGGGUCGACCCACCUCAAAGAUGAGCAGGGGGUCUAGCGCCACAACACGCUCCACCGCCUCGUCAAUAAGGAGGGUCUCCUCCCAGGCGGCCAUUGUGCGCGCCUGGUCAGGCAAACACAACAGAAACAACACUUACAUAACAGCAACAGCAUUAACAACAUCAACGAACAUUAACGAACAAUAACGAACAACAACGAACAGCAGCAACAACAACAACAACACUGAGCUUGUAAACGUUUUAAGCGACAAGAGGGUUGUGAGGUAAUCGGCGCAGUGUGGGGAGGAUUGCAGCAAUGUUAAGUAUAGCAACCCAUCGCAGACAACCGAGAUAUCACUUUUACACUGGAAAAAGCCGUACAUUGACGUACCGUUACGGCACUUUACGUACCUCCGGGCGCGCGAGCAGGUCAAAAGGCUCCGUCUGUAUGGGCGGUAUGACUUUGAGGGUGGAGGGAGCGGGAUGGUCCGAGUUGUUGCGGACUGUCAUCUGGCUGGGGCGGCCCGCGUACUCCAAGAUCUGGAUCCAGGAUCCACGUUAUGCAGAAUCCAAAAACCGCGAAAUCCAACAAAUGAUUUCAGAUCCAAGACGCCGACGAAUCCACAAUGUAAGACGAUUUCAUGGCAAGGUGCACGUACGUACAGCCGAAAGGGUUUUGUCGUGAGGAAAGGCGGAUGUGUUUCAGGAAACGGCAACACCUUCGGCGCAUCGUUAUGUCAAGGCAAAGCAUGGUGUACAGUACGCCGCCUGCGGCUGAUGAAGAGAUUGUGGAGGAGGUGAGGUUGUGGAGGAGGUUGUGGAGGAGGUUGUGGAGGAGGUUGAGGGGGAGGUUGAGGGGGAGGUUGAGGGGGAGGUUGUGGAGGAGGUUGUGGAGGAGGUUGUGGAGGAGGUUGUGGAGGAGGUUGUGGAGGAGGUUGAGGGGGAGGUUGUGGAGGAGGUUGUGGAGGAGGUUGUGGAGGAGGUUGUGGAGGAGGUUGUGGAGGAGGUUGUGGAGGAGGUUGUGGAGGAGGUUGAGGGGUGAGGUUGAGGGGUGAGGUUGAGGGGUGAGGAGGAGGGUGUGGGUGAGGAGAAGGGGGAGGAAAGUAACUGAGGAUAAGGCAGCAACUACUUCGCCAUGAGAUAGGGACCCGGACAACUAAAGUCGGUUGUACGCGGCGGCAACUCUUCUUCUUAGCCACUACUCCGCCGCGACAUCCUCAUAUACUUAUAGUGCAACCAAGGUUCGGGUUUUACAGGAAAAAACCUCCCAACUCCAAAAAGCGUUAAGUAUCCUACCCGUGACGCCUUGGCUCCGUCUAGCGGUUCCGGUGUGGGAUCCUCCAGGGAGGCCAAGUACUGCCCCGUGUUGGCGUCCAGACAGUGCACUCGUACGACAGGAUUCGUCAACAGCGGGUCGAGACGGAGGGCCUUAUGGCACAGCAGAAGGCGCAGGGAAGGCGGGGGAAAGCACAAAGGGCAAGGGGGAAAGGAGCAUCAUAGCGCGGGGAAGAGUCGGGUUAAUUAGUUAGUUAGUUAGUUAAUUGACUGUCUGGGUCAGCUAAAAUCGUACCAACUGUCUCCACGUACGCGAUAAUCUGCAUCCGGGGGUGAGGUAACCCACCUCAGAUCUUGCGAUGGUGACCGCCAGUACGUUAGGAGGCGUGGGCUUUGUGUAUAGCGGACCGCAGAUGGGGGUUUCCAGCGGGGCCAUGUGGAAGGGCAGUGGGGGACCCUGCUCUGCCGUACCCUCCUCCGCUGCACCUGCCGCCGCUGCGGCGGCGGCGGCGUAACUGCCAGACGCUGCUGCUGCUGCUGCUGCUGCUGCAGCGGCGGCGGCGCUUUGAGUGGUGGGACGGCCGUCGUGUACGCCCGUGGCGGGAGCGGGUUCUCCACCAGCCCCUAGAGCUGCCAGGAGGUUAUGGUCGCAGCACACACCCCGAGGUGGGGAAGCGGGUCAGCGGUGCAGCCCGAGCUGUAUAUCGCCGUUCGGGUCGGUUCAUUCCAAGAUGCGGUUUGGAUUUUCAUCAGCUUUCCAAUUACGACAAUCUGGCAGUAGUGGCCGUGAUCACGGCAGCUUUAUAUUUCUAAUGUUUAUGCUUUACCUUAUGCCCUCCAUCUGAUUUAUUCUGCUCUAAAACCACACCUCCUGAAAUUGCGACAAACAAACUUAAAAAAGCCCUUAUCGAUGAAAAUAUUUUAAGGUCAAGAACAUUCCGCACUGGAUGUCAUAUAGCACAAAUGAUUUUAUACAUUUUAUCAUAGCUCAAUGGCUUUAGUUGUGGUUUACGGCCCCACGCCAAAGUCAAGGCUAUGGCCACGACCAACAACAAGAACGCGAGGCCGAAAGUGUAACGACGCAAGGCCCAACUGAGCAUCCCGGGUUACGCCUUUGCUUUGUUACAAUGGUAUCGAGACGGGGCCGCACGACUUCCGAUGAAAUCUUCGGGUCGGUGGUUCGAUUCUGACAACAAGCAGGUAUCGCAGAAAGCGAUAUCAUGGGUAAUGGAUAAACCAGCGCACAAUGCGUGAGGUGGGAUGGCUCCAAUGCUCGAUAUAAUGGCCGCGGACGUCCAUUGCUAAAGGGGGGGCAAUGUAACGACGCAAGGCCCAACUGAGCAUCCCGGGUUACGCCUUUGCUUUGUUACAGAAAGCCUUCGCACGAAGCCUCUGCACAAAGCUUUUGCAAAGUACUUUGUACGGCACAGCACGGCGGAGUCGACAAGCGGUGGGGUCAUGCCACGUCGCAUCUCUUAGGCGAGCAAACAGACAGACAGACAGACAGACAGACAGACAAACAGACAGACAGACAGACAGACAGACAGACAGACAGACAGACAGACAGACAGACAGACAGACAGACAGACAGACAGACAAACAGACAGAUAGGCAGCUGCACAGAUGCAGGAAGUGGCACUGUAAAGUUACAUCUCGGCGCCUCGGUGCCCGCCUACCAAGCAAGCUGAUUACCACCUGGUUUAAUAGCCCCCUCACCUCCUGCUUCGCCGACGCCUCCUCCAUCCCCCCUCUCAACGGUAGCCGCCCGAGAUGGUGGCAGCGCAGCGGCGGUAGCGACAUCAACAGCCGUGCUGGUUCUCUGUGCACCAGCCGCGACCGCCGCGGCCGCCGCCGCUGGUACGGGCGCUGGGCCCAGCACGUUGCCCGACGUCAUAGCCGCCGCCGCCGCUGCGUGGCGUCGGCGUGUACGGCGCAUGCUAGCAUUCAGAGUGAGAGACAAGUCGGAUCCGCCGCCGUCGGAGGCCGCAGCGGAUGGAGGGGUGGUGGGCCCGGCUGGAGUGGCCGCCGCAAUUAGGGUUGCUUGACUGCUGCGUGCGUCGCGACCGCUACCAAGGCGAGACGGCGGCAGGGAGAAUGCCAGCGGCGUUUCAGCGGAGGCUUCAGAAGGAGAGGCUCCUGAUGUUAGCGCUGGGUCUAGCGGGGUUCUUCCACGUGUGUUAGGAGGUGGCGAUGGCGAGCUGGCUGCGGGUCGGUCUUCGUCUCUAAGCCCAGUCUCGAACGAUACAUGACGAGUGCCUUUGAAAUUAAGAAGACGUUUGGAUAAUGAUUAGUAUGGUACUUUGAUGAAGGAUAUCUUCGUCGCCAUUCCUGAGUUGGGUCGAUGCAUGCCGAAUUACCUUGGUCAUUCCCUUGGGAGCGGCCCUGAGCUCCUGAGUCUGAGUUACCAUCAUCAGAGACAUUCCAAGCAGCCAUUUCCUUCUGGAGACCGAACCGUGCUGACGGAGGUGGUAGGUCGUCAGGCCUCAUUUUUAAGUAGGAUAGUUGUUAGUGCAUUAUAAUAUUAAAAGACAUAUUAGUAUGCUCAUGAUGAGCGUUCAAUGGGUUUGGAAGGUUUUGGGUCUAGCACAGCUACUAAAAGGUCCCUCCCAAUGAACCCAUACCUGCAAUUGAAACCUUUUAAAAGUUAUACUAUGACUAAAUUGGCACUUAGGUUUUAAUUCUUUGAGGAGCUUUGCGUAUGCGUUAAAACUGGUACGGCUUUUGACGAAGGGAAAAUCCAGCCAGCUAACCGCGUAUACAAUUGGAUUGAAGCCGCGCGCGAUUCUAUCAGUUUGGAUAGCUCUGUGUCAUGCACGCGUAUAUUUAGGCUAACCUUGGCCCAGACAGUUGUGUCCAAAAUUGCCGGCCGGAAUCAGCCGCAACGUACCGUUUCCGUGCCAAGAUUAAGCCAUGCUACUUAUGCUCAUUAAAAGGUCAUGCAUAUCCUAACCACCGGGAUUCAUUGGAUAGACCUGGGACUCAGUCUAUCGAAUAUCGGCACGACUCCGAACGUACAUACAGAAACACACAUGGACGCACCCAAGGUCAUCACGUGAGGUAAAGCCGCUCGCCUAGAUGAGGAAACCGUCGGUAAUGUGGUUUUCGCGACGUCCAGGGAAGUGCCCGGGCUUUGUGAAGGACGCCCCAAGACGAAAAGGCGCCGGUGUCCAUAACAAUCCGCACAACAAUCCACGGACCCCGCCUAAGGAUGCGCUCAUGUCACAAAGAUACAUCGCAACAACCUGGCUCCCCACUGAUGCCCCCGUCGGUAGGCCCUUCCUGACGGGCAGUUGUCCUGUUGCUUUUACUCAAUACCCCGUACUAAGAAACAUCAGGAUUGCCCGCGGGGCCCCCUCGCGAUCACGUCACACACAGAGCUUCUUGGUAAGAAGCCGAACGUGCAAUGCUUCUAACGGCGAACGCUGGCGCCCUGAUCACCCUUGUGUACCAGGUGCGACUUCGGUGUGUUUUGCUUUGUUUCAUGUUGCUAACCCGUGGAUUCAGAUAAUACUGGGCUGUGUUUCCAAAAACUUCGUUGUGCGCAUGUGUGCAACGUGCUCCAGGCCGAAAAACUCAGGGAGUCGCAGGCGUCAGAUUCAGACAUCGGCAAACGCUUCGGGCACUUCGGGUCGAACCGAAACUUCCGAAAACAGAAAUAGAGUUCCAGAAGCCGACCCUCUUGCAGAAAUAGGACCAUCCGCCGCUGUAUACGGAAGCUCCUCUGCGGCUCGAAGGGCCGCCCGACGGCCGGAGCCGGAAGUCCAUGAAAUGGACCCGUUCCUGAAUGCAGAAGUAUUCCUUUUGCCGAUGUCUGGUCGGAUUCUCGGACGUAGAGGGAUUGGCGGUUGCAGUUGUUUCCGUUGCUACCCGCCGAAAUGCUCCGGCCGCUUCGAGUGACGGCUUACGCGUAAGGCCUAUGCCCGGGCAAUGCCCACAUUACCAGUUUUGUGAAAUUAACAUCUUUACAUUGAUAUUUGUCUGGAAACCACGUAGGGGCCGUCUGCUGAGACUUGUUUACGGCGCUUACGGUGUUGAUGGUGCUUGGGUACAAAGUGUUGGCUAAUGCGCCUGACUUCCGCCUUUAUAAAAAUAGGCAUAUACGACUCACCGUUCUACGUAUUUUUUGAAGGUUCUGAUGAUGAUGCUGCAUGUGGCCACAAGACCGCCCUGCCCCGUACGGAAUUGGUUUUCUUGAAACAGCUUAGUUACAAUCUGGCCCAACAAACCCGUCAUCGAUUAGGAUGGAAUUGGACUCAUGCACUGAUAGCUUGGGAACAAAGAACGAAAGAAGGGACGACAUGGCUACGUAGGCCAGGCUUGUCUCAGUUAUCUGGUCCGAAAGGAUUGACUGAAGUUUAUCUAUCUUCUUAGCUCUAGAACAUGAGCGAAGAACGUCAAGAGAUGGAUUCAUUGCAGGCCGCGGAGCAGGGCGCGGAAGAUGCUCCCAGUCGUUGGCAAGAACCAGUUCCAGAAGAAUGGAAGAAAGCUCGCGCAGCAAAAGCGGAUGAAUGGUUUCAGCAACGAAAGGAAGAGUUGCACAGGUAGGAUGAACGGCGGGAUGCCAUCCGGUCAACCCUGCGCAUGGAAGGGGGUGAGCUUGCUGUCAUAAGUACCAAAAGCCUGGCUUGCUUAUCACACGUCUAUAUGGGAGAAUAAUGAAUCCCCAUCUUGCGUUCCGAUGGAUUAUGACUCGUUCGACAUUUAGAAGGAUUUCCUGGUAGAAGCGGUUCUCCCAUUACUGUAAUUGGACUCGUUGGGUUUGUCUGCACCUUGAGACGACAGCUUUCCGCUACCCCAUGCAACAUGAAACCUGCACAAGCACACGAUCGCCCAAAGUGUCGAAGUGCUGCUGCACGGAUAGGAAUAUCCAAACAUAUCCAUCGCGCCCUGGCCUCUGGACCUGCCACACGGACUUGUCCUUUAAACAGUCGGUUCGAGCAGCAUCCUGUACGCAGCCUACUUGGUCGUAUGUGGCGAGGCGCCCCCCCACCCCAUCCUUCUCCACAUAACCCCAACCACCACCACCCACACAUACAGGCAAUACCAUGGAGCUAAACAGGCAGUCAUAGACGCCGCUGCACGCGAGGCCGCAGAGGCAGAGGCGCAAGCGGCUUUCGAUGGGGCUGUCCAGGUGCGUGUGAGGCGCGACGGUGGGAUCGUGGUGUGAAUGAGGUGUGUCAAACCCCCACAAAAACCAUAUGAAAUUAUGGAUUGUUUGGGGGAUUGGAUCUGGGCUAGGAAGUCAAUCCUGCACCUACUAAUCCUAAUGGGGAUGGCAGGCGAGUCUGGGGAAGAGAGUACAUUCGUCAGGCCCCACCCAUCGGCCCCACCCACCUGCUGUGCCCCAAGUUCUCUGGCCCGUGGCCCUGCAGCUGCCGUAACCCCGCAUCCCGAAACCCUCCCACAGGCUAUGGUCCAGGAGCAGUCAGCGUACAGGUGGGGCAGCGGGUUGACGGUGCGGGCAGGCAGUUAGGCGAGCAGGGGUAGUGGAUUAGACUGGCGUGUGCGACCAACCGAGAUGGUGGUGGUGGUAGUAGUAGUAGUAGUAGCGGUGUUGUCAUUGCAGUGGGGACAGAGAGUUGCUGGUCCAUGUACGAUUACGUACGUACUGGCCUCAAGCCCAUGGUGGGGACAGUCACGUCGUGUCGGGUUGCGUCGUGCGCUGUGGUGGAUGGGAUCAUUGUAACUUUGUGGCCGUGAAGCCGGUGUUUGCGGGGAACAACACCCCGCAGCAAGACGCACCGCAUUGAGUACUGUGGUGCGCCGGGGGACUCCAGGAUGGGCGUUUGCUGUUGUGUACACCGGUACGCGUGUCCAAAACUCUUUCUGCGCCUUUUUUCCUCCCCGCUCUCUUCAUCCCGCAGUCGCUCUGCGCAGCAGCAGCUGGCGGCUCUGCGGCAGCAGCGGCUAAGUGCUAAUCUGGAGUACGAGGUAGGGGGCUGGGCAGGCAGGACGGGGUGGGGCGGAGCGGGACCGGGGCGGACGGCGGGAACCGGUUAGGGCGGGGGGCCCUGGGCCGGGGAGCUGAAGCUGGAACCAGCAACCGGCUGACCCUCAUGUGAGUACACCUCAUCGUUGUCAUCAUCACCGUCAGCAUCACCCAAAAAUCCGAAUAGCCAACAGCAGCAACAUUAAUAACAAUAAGAACAUCGUCUUGGGUUCGCGUGUUAGGGGGCGUACAUCUGAAUCCAAUCCAAUCGAACGAACGCAACCUCGACCAACUUGACGCAGGCGCUCCGCCUGCCGCACUUUACCCCGCCGCGGCUCCUGGCCCUGAUCACCGCGUUUGAGGGGGGCCCUACCUUUGUGGAGCGCCUCUUCAACAGGGCCCUGGCGACCACCCUUAUGACGGCGGUGGCCACGGCAGCGGCGCCGCAGUCACCGGCGGCGGCAGCAGACCACGGUGACGGCAGCGGCGGUGGCGCCGCCGCAGCCGCUGCCGCUGGCGAGGCGGUCUGGUGCGAGAUGGGACAAAGCCGCGUGAGCAUGCAAGACCCUCCGCUGGCCAGGUACGGCAAGCAGCGUUGUUUCAUUCGUUUUAACAUACAGCUGAAAACGUUGGAUUUCCGAGUUCGAUUCCUCGCCUUUUCAGAAAGCGCCAUUGAAAAAAGAGCUCAAGGAAAAAAUGCAGACUACCUAGAACGCCAGCCCACAUCUGUGUGUUUGUUUUGCCUCCUCAGGGCUGAAGCUCUGGAGCGCUGCCGGCUGGCUAUUGUGGUGCUCUCUCCAGCACUGCUGGCUAGCCCCCAGUGGGCGCUGGAGCGCCGCAUCCUGACGGCUCGCUUGACGGCGCCGCCAGGCACAUGGCCAGGUGCACCGCUGUCCGCCGUACUCAUCGUACGGCUGCACGUGCCACCGCCGGCGUCUGUCGGUGAAGCCGCUGCCGCGGCGGUCGCGGGCAUGGGCCGUAAGGCUGCUGCAGCGGUGGCAGCCUCGACGGCAGCCGCGGCAGCGCCCGAUCCCAACCCGCCGCCACCUUUGGUAUUGCCGGAUCCAGUUCCCGGUUAUCCCGUACAGUCGUACCCAGUACAUGUAAUGGACUUGACAGUGCCGCUGCCGCCGGACCCGCCACCGGAAGGCUCAGCUGCGGGGAUCGCGCUUGCGCAGGUAUUGUGGGGCGCGAGUACGGCGGCACACCACGGUGGACGGCGCCCGUCGGGUAGUUGCUUCCAGGACUCGGGUAGUUGCUUCCAGGACUCGGGUAGUUGCUUCCAGGACUCGGGUAGUUGCUUCCAGGACUCGGGUAGUUGCUUCCAGGACUCGGGUAGUUGCUUCCAGGACUCGGGUAGUUGCUUCCAGGACUCGGGUAGUUGCUUCCAGGACUCGGGUAGUUGCUUCCAGGACUCGGGUAGUUGCUUCCAGGACUCGGGUAGUUGCUUCCAGGACUCGGGUAGUUGCUUCCAGGACUCGGGUAGUUGCUUCCAGGACUCGGGUAGUUGCUUCCAGGACUCGGGUAGUUGCUUCCAGGACUCGGGUAGUUGCUUCCAGGACUCGGGUAGUUGCUUCCAGGACUCGGGUAGUUGCUUCCAGGACUCGGGUAGUUGCUUCCAGGACUCGGGUAGUUGCUUCCAGGACUCGCACACACACCACAUGCACCCACGAGGAUUUGCGACGACCGAUGCCCAAGUGGCCCGGCUUUAUCAUGGGCCAGUAGCCCGGGGUCCUUCCACCCCACAACCUUUGCCUGUCUGCCCUCACUCCAUCCCUCCCAUCCCCAUGCACCGACCCAAUCACCGAUCGCCCCACUCGGGGUCCCCUCAUCCCCCCUCACGCGCCAACGCAGGCGGUGCGGUCUGCAGUGGCGGAUGUGCUGCAAGAGGCCUCUCGUAGUGGCGCCCUGGCGGCGGCAGGGCUGCGGCUCCUGCCCGACCCGCCCCCUGUCUACCUCCACCCCGCUCACAUACAUCAGCAACCAGAGCAGCUGCUCCUGGCGUCAUUAUCCUCGGCCAGCGGUGUGGCCAGCGGCGACGUCGCGGCGGCGAUGCUGGCGUCGAUGUCGUCGCUAACGCUGGGUGCGACGUUGGCGGGCUCCGGCGGCAGCAGUAGCAGCUUGGCGACGCAGAUCCUUGUGUCGCCGGCCAAUGCCGCUGUUGCACCCGGCGCCGCUGCCACGGCGGCGCACAUGCUACCGCCGACACACUCCCUGCGCACGGUGGACGACUGGACGAUGUACGACACCGUGGUACGUGCCAUGGCAUUCCGUAACGCCUCUGCUGCCUCUGUUAUUAUUUUAGCCCAUCAGGCGCUCUGUCCGUCUGUCGGUCUGUCUAUCGUUCUACGUAACACACACGCGGCACACAUUACGAGUGUGUGUGGAGAGCGCUGCUGUGCGACUUAUAUGCCAUCAGUCCACACGUUGGUUUGUUUUCGUACGUUCUGGUCUGGUGUUGUAUUGGGCUGUGGGCUCUUCCACGUCGCCGUCCUGCGGGUCUCCCAUUUGACACCCUAUUUACCCCUUCCCCCCAUUCUAUUACCCCUUCACGGUGUCAGCCUUCUCUUCCCCACCCCCCUUGCUGCCCCUACCCACCCCUGCCCCGGCCUGGCUAACUCUCAGGUCUGGCUAAGUGGCCUGGGACGUUCUCUGGCUCGAUGGUCUGGGGGCUUCCUGGCGCUGGCGGUAGAUGGGCCGCUGCUGGUGGUGGCGGAUGACACCGACCUGCGAGCCGCAUGCGGUGUGGCGGCGGACAAGGCGGUUGCCGUGAUUCGGCAAGCGUUGGAGAGGUGGGCGGGAAGGGGCAAAAAGGAUGAGGGGGAAAAGAGGGAAGGGUCAUGGCCGCAAAGUUUGGCUGUCCAUCCAAAGCAACCUGUUGGCGACUGAUCUCGGAGUUUAUAUGUACCAUGGCAUGCCUGCUGCUGAGCCAGCUCCUCCCAUAUCACCAUGACCGCCACUCCUUUCCCAAGGCCAGCCCGAAGCUACCGCACACAUCCGCCCAGCCCGCAAUAUCCCCUUCUGUAUCCAUCAACCCAACCAAUCACCCAACCAAUCACCCAACCAAUCACCCAACCAAUCACCCAACCAAUCACCCAACCAAUCACCCAACCAAUCACCCAACCAAUCACCCAACCAAUCACCCAACCAAUCACCCAACCAAUCACCCAACCAAUCACCCAACCCAAUCACCCAACCCUAUCACCAACCCAAUCACCAACCCAAUCACCAACCCAAUCACCAACCCUAUCACCAACCCAAUCACCAACCCAAUCACCAACCCAAUCACCAACCCAAUCACCAACCCAAUCACCAACCCAGUUACCAACCCUAUCACCAACCCAAUCACCAACCCAAUCACCAACCCAAUCACCAACCCAAUCACCAACCCAAUCACCAACCCAAUCACCAACCCAGUUACCAACCCUAUCACCAACCCAAUCACCAACCCAAUCACCAACCCAAUCACCAACCCAGUUACCAACCCUAUCACCAACCCAAUCACCAACCCAAUCACCAACCCAAUCACCAGCCCAAUCCAUUUAUCGCACGAUUGUCUCCACGCUCUCUGCACCCUCAGCGCCAAGCGGCGGUCCGUACCACUGCCCCCCUGGCGGGCGCUGCUGCCGCUGCCUGACGCCCCGGCCACUCCGCUGCCCCCCGAGGCCGCCGUCAUGCCGCCACCCCAGCGGGCGGCUCUGCUGGCCGACAUCUUCACUUACUAUGACCAGGUACAUGACAGUGCAGGGGGUUACGGCGUUUAGGAGGGCAUAGCGCAGAGCGUAAUGCAGUGCAGCUCUCUUAGGUAGCACGUAGCAAGGACACGGUCAGGGAUUUCGGUCAGGGAUUUUCAAGGGAGACGUCUGUGCAACGUAAGUAACGCAGGUGCUUAGCGCUGAGCUGGGGUCCCCCGUGUGGGGACAGGUUUGCCUUGUGCGGUAGGGUUCACACACCACAGACCGCACACACGUGACAACCCAACGAAUGAGAGCAAAUCUGAAUGAGAGCAAAUCAGUAGGUACUAGUGACAAGUUUUUGUAUGAUCUUUUACCUACAGAAUAACCCUCCAACGUCCCUAAUCGUCUUAAUACUACGCCGCCCUCCCAUACACUCCUAUCCCACCUCCUCCUCCUCCCUUUCCUGGUAAAACGACUCUCUAUUCGCACCAGUCCAACACCCCACACGCACUCCGACACCCCCUUCCAACAUACAUACAUACACACCCCACACGCCGCUCAGGAUCAUAGUGGCGAUCUGAACCUGGCAGAGCUGGACCGACUGGUUCACGCGUGCGGGCUGAGACUGGGUCCUGUACGGGUGGGUGUGGGUGUGGGGGCGGGUGUGGGGGCGGGUGUGGGGGCGGGUGUGGGGGCGAGUUGGGGAGCUGGUGCAGGUGGCCGGAGUUGGUUAGUUAGUUGGGUCAGUGCAUCACGUGCAACGAUAAAGAAACCACCUGAGUGAGGUUUAGCUGUAGUGUAUUUGGCUGUGUGGUCGGGUUAUGUGUGUUGUGUGUGUUGCCCAUCGCUUUGUGGUGGUGUUAAGACGAAACAUCGCCUGCGCGUCAUCACAACGCAGCAAGAGUGUAGUGGUUGUUUGUGUGUGGACAUGAGCUUUGGGAGCUGCGUGAUAUGGUCCCCGUGGGGCCCAGAUGCUCCGGUAUGUGUGCGGGGGGGAUGCGCGUGCGCGUGGUUUGAAUGGUCGGGGAGUGAGUGAACCUCCCCAGCCCACAUACCGAACUGAACCAAACGCACCUGUCUUUACACGCGACACGCGGGGAGAGGGGACUCGAGAGCUUCUGAAACUGAUGUUUUUUGGCAUUUUGGGGGUGUUGCGAGUGCCAGAAAUUCUUGGAAAUUCUUUUGGCGGCAAAGACGGGGCAUCAAGUGCCAGAGCCAGCACAGGAUGGCGAGGGGAGCUUGCCCGUGGGGAACUGACCCGGUCUUCAAUACCCUCGGGCCGCAACCCUUCCCCCUUCCCCUUCCUUCCUUGGACGCCGGCAGUUCAUCUCCGUUGAGUUCCACCUCGCAUAUGAUUUCACCAUCCCCCCACACACACAUACAUACUCUUUCCUUGGCAGCAGCUUCACUCGUUCGUGGUUCGUCUUUUCCCCCCCCCACAAACAUACACCCCACACGCACCUUGGCUUUGCAUGUCCUUCUCCCACUCCCCCGGCCCACAGCUCAAGGACGUCCUAGACGACUACGAUGACGAUGCGGAUGGGCGACUGAACGCCCGGGAGGCGGAGCGGCUACUGCUGGACGUGUGGAGACUGGUGAUGGCGCAACAGGUUAGCGGUUAGCGUACCAACCAAAUCGGGGGUUAUUGAGGUGGGGCGAAGCAGCUGGAUGCGGAUCAGGUUCUGGAUGCGGAAUUUCCAGAAAAUCUGGAUUUUGGUGGAGUGGAGAUAACCCAUUUACAUAUUGCGUCCCGGUGUGUGUGUGUGUGUGUGUUGCGUGCCGCGCCGCGAUACAGCGCUCCUCACCCUCCUCUCGCGCUGUCGAUGCGAGUAAUGAGCGAUGCUGCCCGCCGUCCCUCCCCUUGUACACUCUUUCCUUGGCCCCCCAUGUACACUCUUUCCGUGGCAGUAGCUUCACUCGUUCGUGGUUCGUCUUUCCCCCCUUGUCCACAUCAUGUGCAGGACGUGGCAGCCUGGACGCCCUCCGAGUCCGCCGCGGCGCUGCGGGUAAGCGACCGAAAAUUACUUAGUUGGUGCAAAACAGCAAGUGCUGUGGUAACGGCGCCCCGGUUCUCUACCGCUGCCUGCAUCAUGUUCAUGGUUCCCAUCCCUACCACCGCACGCCGGCAGUUCAUUUCUGAUUUCCUUGCAUAUGCUUCCCUACCAUCCUACCAUGUGCUCGUGCUGCUUGUCCGUAUGCGGGUGCUGGUGCUGCUGCCGCUAUAUGCUGCAUUAUCUACGACCUGUGGUACUUGAAGUACCCGAUCCAACUCCUUCCUGUCCCUUCCCCCUAAACUAACACAAACACUAGGGUUCCUGAUUCCCACACACAUACGCAUCCGUGUACCCGGAGGUUCUUGUCCGGAACCCGUCCAAACACAACCACCCCACCCUCCCCAGGACGCCAUCGACCUUGAGUGGCCCUUGGAGACACCCCGCGCAACACCCGACGCACAGAAAGCCGCCGCACGCACCGCAGCAGCUCGCGCCGCCGCCGCCGCUGCCGCGGCUGGCAACGGCGGCAGCAGCCGUGCCAGCGUCUCCGCUGGCUCGGAAGCCGCGUCCAUCAACAUCCUCGGCUCGCCGUCGGCUUCGUUCUCCGGCGGCAUCCCCAGGAAGGCCUCCGCUGCAUCGGCGGCAGCGGCGGCGCCGCCGUCACGCUGCAUCAGCAGCCGUAGCCGCGGGGCUGUGAGCCCGAGGUUGGUAGAAGGAGAGGACGAGACGGGCGCCAAAGUACGACUGUUGGAUCAUACGGCAAGUGUAUCGGUGACAGGUGCCGGCGGCGGCGGCAGCAGCACCAGCGACGACGGUGAGGAGAGUGUGGUGUCGUUUACGUGGGGGCUACCGCCGCGGGCUCUGCUGGGCGGCCCGUCUCUGUCCUUGAAGGUGGCGGUGGCGGUCUCAAAGGCACAAACCGACACGGGGAGCAGCGUUGACACGGCGGCGGCUCCGUGGCUGGGCGCCAUCACGCCGCGGGGUAAGAGUAUGCGGGUAUGUGCGUACGUGUGUACUAAUGUGUAAAGAAGGAUGAGCUGAUUUGAGAGAAUAUGUGUGUAAGAUGCGUAUGUCUGUAUAUCUGUAUGUUCCUGGCAGCCGCGCGAGGCAAGCGCACGUGUCUCGGUGGGGGUUCGGCAUACUCCAAGGCACAGAGAACAAGUGGCAACCUAGCAGAUGUGUAGGUAUAAGAGAUGUGAAAAGUAAAAUCUGCAUCCCGUCCCUGAGAAUCUGACCUCCCGUAGGUGUGAGUGUAAGAGAGUGUGUAUGUAUGUCCCGCAGCUAGGGUUUGAGUGCCCUCAGCUACACAGGGUCAGUUGGGGGCUCUGCUUCCCACUCGAUGUGGUGUUGUGCGUGCGUGUGAAUACAUGUGUGGGUCAGGGUGCGUGACUCGAUACCCCGAUCCCCUGGGCCCAUCCCCGCCCAGUUGCCUUCUCACGACCCACCUACUCACCCCGCUUGACUUCCCCGCCCACGCCGCGCUCGCGCCCUUCACACCCAACGAUGAUCUGUUGUCCUGGUCUGAGCCGAUGAGGCCCUCUUUCCAGAAGCCCGUCUCCAUCGUGGGGCGUGGGCGCCUGCUUCCUUUUCCCUACAGCCCCUCGUGCACAUUCGGGCCGUUCGGGUUGCGCCUGGAAGUUCGCUUGUUUGAAAGUCUUUUUCCCUUGAUUUCCUCUUCCUCCACCCCCCAACACCUGCCUAAUCUUGGAGUAUCCGUCUAUCUCUGAUCGGUACCUGCCGUCACUCUUCUGUAGAUCAUCUUAACCCCCGAUCUCUCCCUCCCCCUCACCUCCCCCCGCAAACACCAACCCGUUUCAGUCAAGACUGGUCCGGGCUUGUUGUCGCCGGCGGAGAUGGCGGCUCGGGAUGUGGAUGUGCAGCGGCUGUUGAGGAGGGAGCGGAGCGACGGGGAGCUCAGGGUGGGUUCUGGCUGGCUGCCUGGUGGGCUAGGCGAGUGUGACCCAGAUCACUAAUAUACACCGCAACAACACAGCAGUGCGCAAGUCCACAAAGAUGCCAUACUGAAAGUGGUGAUGAAGACCAUUGAUGAAACGCAAGGGGGAGAGCUCAGGUUAAGAGGGUCCUGGCUGGCUGGCUGCUAUGGGCCCCUAGGGGCUUGGGAGAUGGGGAGAGUGUAAGGAAAUGAGUGUGCGGGGCCGGGCCCUGAUCAGCGCCAUUGGAGGAUGAGGGGCGGUUUCGAGGUCAGGAAAAGGGAGGAAACUGCCUCAUGACUCAGAAUUGGCCUGGCAGCUGAUUAGCGUGUACCAUGUAUGUAUGUAUGUAUGUUGUUACAGGGUGGUGUAGCUUCACCAGCGGCCCCCUUUCCCGAGGCAGUUCCCUGCUCUCCCCUGCUAGAGGGGCACCCUAAUCCAUUCACCCCAUCCGACUUAGAAUGUAUUCGUUGGGUUCAGCAACUCACCCCCAGCAUUCAACCAAAUCUAGCGGAUCAACGGCGCCAUAACUUAGUUCCUGGUCAGCUUAGUUCCUGGUCCAUGUAUGUAUGUAUGUGUGUAUUAGGGAGGGGAAUUAAGGAGAACUGGGAACUGGUUGAUCCCCCGGAGGAGGGAAGCGCGAAGGGGGGUGGGGUGAUCGAGAGAUUGCGAUAGCGGAGAGGAGUUGGACGUGUGCAGGGGGCGGGGUGGGUCAACCCAGAGGGCCGAAAUCGGUGCGGGCAGCUGCUGGAAAUGAGGCUGUUGACCGACCGCCUUCCCCCCAUUCCGUCUGGUAAACAAAUUCACAUCUUACCUGAGCGCUGCUACUGCAACGUCAGUCUCGGUGCCCUCCCUCUUUUGCUCCUGCCUCCACUUCCACUUCCACUUCUCAAUCCGGUGGAUUUCCCCCUUGGCUCUCCGUUCCGUUGGUGCAGGAGUCCCUGUUUCGGUUGUUGGACAGUUUGGAUUUGAAGCGGUUGGGACGUGUGGAUCUACAAUUGUUGAGGUAGGGCUGAGAAGGAUCCGACUGUUAAGGGGGGGAAUAUUGGAAAAGCCCGGGAAUGAAGAGCGUGAUUGUGUAGUGCCCAUUAAAGUUGUCCUCCUUUCGCCACACACACCUCUCGUUGUUGAUUUGUAAUGUGCGGUUAGGUCUCCCGCGCCCUGCCUGGAUUAACCCUGCCUGCACCUCGCCAUUUCCUUUGCCCGUCUUUUUCUCUCCCCCUUGCCAUAAUUUUACUACCUACCCCUUGCCCGGCCAUUGCCCGCAGAGCCUCCCUUGCAGCCACUGGGCCCCUCGCCCAGCUCACCCCACUUCACACCCAGUUGCUGUCAGACCUAGCCGAUUCCCUGUCACAACUGUCAACGGAAAAAACGGCAACGGGCAAGGGCGGCGCCAGUGGUGGGCAUCGGCGAUCUCUGGCCAGUGGGCCGUUGGGUGAAGGGCUUGUGGGGCUGGAGGUGCCCGUACAGCCGUACAUCUCGUCUGCCGUACCAGCAGUGGCAUCGGCGCAGGAGGCCCUGCUGCAGGUGGUGUACGGCGAGCGAGGGCUGUCAGCCAUGCUGCGUCAGCUGUAUAGACAGGUGUGUAUGUAUGCGCGUGUAUGGAUAAGUUUGCACGCAAGUUAGCAUGUAUGUACGUAUGUAUGUGUGCUUAGGUAUACGUGUAUGUAACCCUUGGCGGUUGUGGUACGUUUGGCGAAUUCGUGCUCAGAAACACGGUGUACAUGGUUGCCGGGUCGGCCAGGAUAUAUUGUUUGGGGUUGCCAGUGGUGCAGACGGGGACGGGGACGGGCACCCACGAUAUUGCUCUUCCUGCUGCAAAGCAGGUGAUUGCGGUCCUGCAACUUUUAUGUCAUAAGAGUGACUCUGAUCUACCUCAAUGGUCGUUGUAGAGCCAUUCCGGCACCGAUAGUUUGCCAUAAGGCCCACAUGACCAAUCCCAGCGCAGCAUGGUGUAUAGCACAAUUGCACAGUACAAUCUAUACGCGAUUCCCUUCUUGUGCUCAGCCAUACAUACUUACCUACGCACAUACGCACGCACACACACACGCACGCACGCACGCACGCACGCACACACUGUCCUUCGGCAGUUUGCUGCUCGGACGUCAUUGGCAUUUGAUCCUUCGUAUCUUUCUGCAUCAUCAUCAUCAUCAUGUCAUCAUCAUCAUCAUCAUCAUCAUCAUCAUCGCAUGGUUCCCUCUCCCACUUCGGUUACACUCUUUCCCUGGCAGCAGCUUCACUCGUUCGCGGGGGCUCGUCUUUCCCCCACCACUUCGCCUUCUGUGUGAUUCCUCCCCUCUCCAUAUGAUCCCAGACCACCGGGCCAGAUGAUCCGCUGGAGCUGCUGACCCGGGGACCCCGAGUGCGGCCUGUUGCGGCUGAGGCGGCCCUGGAGGCGCUCUUGGAGGUGCAGGUGGGGGUGAUAUAUGCCCACGUGGACAUAUGCACGUGCAGGUGCACAUGCAGGUGCAAUGGAACAACGGAACAACGGAAGCAGUAGGGGGUUUUCUCCCAAAUCCCGAUCUGGGUUUGCGCUGAUCGGGAAUUGCCAUUUAAACCAGACCGUAGUUGAUGCUUAUUUGAUAUUUUUUGAGAACACCGAAAAAUUGCACCGAUGUCCAAAGCAACCGAGUGGCAGCUGCGCAUAGUUCCGGAGCUUGGCGCCUUAAGUCAUCGACAUGCAGCAGACCCUCCGUUGUAUAAUCGUCGCCCUUGGGUAUAGAUAGAGCGAGAGGGCACGAUGGGAAAGUUGAUGCGUAGGGUUUCAGUGGCGUGUGAGAAAAAGGAAGGAAACCAUAUUACAUGAUAUGCCAAAGUCAAUCAAGGAACAACUGCCGACGCCUGAGGGGUGGUGGUGGACCUCCUUUGGGAGCGCCCUCUCUGAGCUCCCGCUCUGAGCUCGUCUACUGUCCGCCGUACCCACCGCCGCCCGGCCGCAACCUAUUGCCUAGUACCCACCCUGCCUACCAGUCGGUCAGAUUCCCCACUCACUUCCGUCUGUCCAUGCCCACAUGCUCGUUUUCCAACCCAUCCAAUUCUCCGCCCACUCAUGCUGGAGCAUUCCCAGCUGACUCGUCCCAACCCGCCCAACCUUUCCAAGGACCUCUCCCACCAAAUCGAUUCUCAGAUGCCUUCCCAAACCAACUCCGAGCACUUCUUUGACCAAAUUCUGUCCAUGCAGGGAGUCAAGCCCACUGCGCUGCUCCGAGCAGCUCUGCUCCCAGGCCACCAACUACCCACCAAAGAGGAGGAGCUGCUGAUGCUGCAGGCAGGAGGAGGAGGAGGCGGCGGGGGAGGAGGGGGGGAGGAAGAUGAGGCCGCGGCGGCGGCAGCGGCGCGCGGGGACGUGACGCCGCUGAGCCUCCACUCCGCUCGGCGUUACCCGCAGUCCUGGGCAUCCGCCACAGCACAUGUGGUGCAUGUCUACCAGGUGCUGCUGAAACGGUCGCCGUGAAGGUUUUAUUGUUCCUGCCUGUCCCGCUCUGGCCCUCCACCUCCCCAGCGGUGAGAGGAUGGGGGAAUGUAGGGGUUAGGGGCAGCUGGGAGGUGGGAGGUGGGAGGCGUUAUGGAACGUGGGUUCAGAGGGCAUGGGACGGGACGGGGCGGAAGCCGGAGGCGGAGGUGGUGGGAGUUGAAAGCGAUGAACGAGCGAUGGGGGGAAAGCGACGCGAGUGAGGUGGGCACACGUGUGAAGUGAUCGGCAUCUAUUUUGUUUCUCUAGCCCUCAAUUUUUUGUCAUUCCUUGUCUGUGAGCGUGUGUGGUGUGUGUGUGUGUGUGUGUGCACAUCUGUGUGCUUAAGUGAGUUCAGGAGCAGUGGGCGGUCGCCGGAAGACCAGAUGUGCGGAGGGCGAGCAUGGGGAACGUGGGGUCAUAGGGGGAAUGUGGGCAGGGGGCGCGCCCGCCCUGUGUGGCCGGUCAGUGCGCGUGCAUUUCUUUCCGUGAUGUGAUGUGACCUAGGAAGGUAGCAAGCAGGCAGUCAAGAGCAGCAGCAAGAGCAGCUAGCAGGGGGCCGUGCAGGCAUGCACCCAGGCAUCUCAUCAGCAUCCCAGAGUGUGUCGGUGCAUACGUGUGCGUGUGCGUGUUAGAGGGAGGGGCUGGAUGCGGCAUAUCGCAUCGCAUUAUUGCGUGUGCAUGUGGUUACAUGGGCUGGAACGACAUUACCGAGUCGCAGGUGCGGGUAUUGUGGAGUUGUCCUUCGUGCGAAUGUGUUUGUUUGUGUUUGUGUUUAUGCUUAUGUGUGUGUUCGUGCUUGUAUUCGUGCGUAUGUAUGUGUUUCACUUCGGCCUUCACGUAGUGUGGACUGCGGGUUUGUCUACACAGAUCCAUCACGCGGGAGUUCGGGAAAAGCACACCCCGGGGCGUUGAGACUUUGUCUUAAGCACGCUGACACACACCACAAGAGCAUCCCGCCAUGCACUCACCACGCACAACACCAUACCGUCUGUUACCAUGCCCGUUGAGCUGUCGUGCACCAGGUUAUGAUAGGUAUAUAAUUGCAAGCUACGUGCACCAGGGCCUGCCUUGCAGCACACACUGAUAGAGCUGUCCUCGCGCGAAUUACUCUUUUGAAUCCGAACCUCGUGGACAGAGAGCGCACCCUUACCAGGAUCACAGUAGGCCAGGACCAGGCCAUUUGGGUUUUGGCAAGUAUGGGGUUUUGACAGCUGCCAGCUGCCAGAGCUAGGGCAUAUGGGUUUACGAUUUCCCAGCACGGCGUAACUCUUAUGGCUCCCAGGAGCUGGUGGGUUAGGUUGAGGAGGAGAAUGGCAAGCAGCGGGUUCGAUGCGCCUGGACUGUUCAACGCUCUGGACUCGGUACGGCUGUCCGGUCUGUUUUGUGUUGCGUCGGCAUUAAUGCUGCGCCUCGCUGUCAUGUUAGGUCUAGCAGUACCGGUACCCGCCAUCAGCUCCUUGUGGAGUAAUGGAGGGCGCGCUGCUGUCCGUCGUCUUCGCAGGGUGCGUGUUAGGGUGUGUUGUGUGCGUGUAUGUGAACGAGCGAGCGAGCGAGAGAACAGUGCGCUCUUACGGCCCGGUGCACGCACAUAUGUUGUGCAUACGUGUGGCGCUAAUAUGGUAGAGUAGGGGAAACGCUGGUCGGUCAAUCGGGGGGACCUGAGUUGCCUUGCUGCGGGUAGGUACUAUCCGAGACACCAUCUGCGUGUGUCCGCUGUGUAUUGUCCAUCUUUCCCUCACACCGGGCUAACCCGGUGUGUUAAUAAAAAGAGCCUUGGUGAGUUCUGUCACGACAUGUUUAGUCGAUGCUACAGUCCCUAUGAUGCGACAGUCCCUUCCCCCCCCGAGUGCUGGACCAUGCAUGUCCACAUGAACCGCAAGAGCAGCGUGGAAUCCAACCAACAUUUGGCGACGCGCUCUAAACUCAUCCUUGCUCAAAUCUGACCGCCUUUGGCGGAGUAAGCUUACAGAGCGGACACCUGACACCUGAGGUGGUGGCUGAGGAAAGUGUCUUGCUCCGUGGAGGAGGACUACACACCCCUCACGCACGGGCGGCUCCUGGAAGGUGUGACAUACAAACUUUUUGAGUCAAGCAUUCCAGCUCAGCAAGCUGCGUGAUAUUUGCACUCACAUCUUAUUGUCCUCUUAUUCCUAAAUCGCCUCUUAAUUGCUUUUUGCUAACGUGUGCACCGUAUAUACACAUAUCUGGUCUGGGUUGACACUACUGCGAUUCGCGGUUUAAGGUCCUGGGUUCGAUUCCUGGGGAGACCCCCGAAUUAGUCGGGAGCGCGAGAUUAUGGCUAGCUGCUGAGAUGUGGAGUUGAGGUCGCAGUUGAUGGACCAGAUUCGCACGCUGGAUUGGUGGCGAUUGCCGAACCCUCCGUCUCUUCGGUUGUUCGGGUGAAUGGAUGAGGAGGGGUCCUAGACGGCUGGACCCGCCGCCUUGGACUUACAGUUCGUAUGGCGAAGUAUAGUGUGGUAGUGGUGGAUGGUGCUAUAAGAUGAUAAAUCGUAGAACUGACAAAGUGAUAAAGUGGCCCAGAAGCCUCCCACUCUGUAACAUUACAUUACAUAUACACAUACACACAUAUAACGUGUGCACCGACAUGUGCAAUAUGGUAAUGUCGGCCUUCUAUAACAUUCACGCAUUCUUGAUUGUCUUUCUUCACAAGACUGCUUGUGAAGUCUUCAGAGUUGUUGUUGUUGUUGUUUCCGCACAG
rnacentral:lncRNA from 1 species